rnacentral:rRNA from 1 species
ACUCAAAGGAAUUGACGGGGGCCCGCACAAGCGGAGGAGCAUGUGGUUUAAUUCGAUGAUACGCGAGGAACCUUACCCGGGCUUGAAAGUUAGUGACCGGCUGAGAAAUCAGCCUUCCCGCAAGGGCACGAAACUAGGUGCUGCAUGGCUGUCGUCAGCUCGUGCCGUGAGGUGUUGGGUUAAGUCCCGUAACGAGCGCAACCCCUAUCAUUAGUUGCCAACAGGUAAAGCUGGGGACUCUAAUGAGACUGCCCGCGCAAGCGGUGAGGAAGGUGGGGAUGACGUCAAGUCAGCACGGCCCUUACGUCCGGGGCUACACACGUGCUACAAUGGGCUGUACAGAAGGAUGCUACCUGGUGACAGGAUGCUAAUCCCCAAAGCAGUUCUCAGUUCGGAUCGAAGUCUGCAACUCGACUUCGUGAAGCUGGAUUCGCUAGUAAUCGGAUAUCAGCAAUGAUCCGGUGAAUACGUUCCCGGGCCUUGCACACACCGCCCGU